UACGGGGGGAGCAAGCGUUGUUCGGAUUCAUUGGGCGUAAAGGGCGCGUAGGCGGCAAGGCAAGUCGGGUGUGAAAGCUUGGGGCUUAACCCCGAAAGGGCACUCGAAACUGCCCUGCUAGAGGGCCGGAGAGGAGAUCGGAAUUCACGGUGUAGCAGUGAAAUGCGUAGAGCUCGUGAGGAAGACCGGUGGCGAAGGCGGAUCUCUGGACGGCCCCUGACGCUGAGGCGCGAAGGCUAGGGGAGCAAACGGG
rnacentral:rRNA from 1 species